ensembl:snRNA U6 U6 spliceosomal RNA
AUGCUCAAUUUGGCAGCACAUAUAUUAAAAUUGGAAUGAUACAGAGAAGAUGAGCAUGACCCUUGCCCAAGGAUAACAAGCAGAUUUGUGAAACUUUCCAUAUUUUU